UACGUAGGGUGCAAGCGUUGUCCGGAAUUAUUGGGCGUAAAGAGCUUGUAGGCGGUUUGUCGCGUCUGCUGUGAAAUUUCGGGGCUCAACCCCGAACUUGCAGUGGGUACGGGCAGACUAGAGUGUGUAGGGGAGACUGGAAUUCCUGGUGUAGCGGUGAAAUGCGCAGAUAUCAGGAGGAACACCGGUGGCGAAGGCGGGUCUCUGGGCCGAUACUGACACUGAGGAGCGAAAGCGUGGGGAGCGAACAGG
rnacentral:rRNA from 1 species